UCUCCUCUUUAAAAAAAAUUUCCUUUCUUCCUUUUUUGUUCUCUACAGGGGCCAUUGCUCAGGCGAGGUUUCAGUCCGGUCGCCACCGUGGACCGCCGCCGUCGCCGGCCACCGCACAUGGUGGCCGGAAAAUAUAAAAGUGCAAGUGGAGUGGUGGCAUAGUGGCGGUGGGAGCAGGUGGAGUGAGUGGCUGACUAGCAUGGGGCUGGGGGCAGAGGCGGCAGAAGCUGAUUUUGCUAGGGUUUUUAGUUUUAUUUUAGGUAUUAAGCUUAGGUUUGGGUAGAUGUAUUGAGUUUAUAUUGGGCCCGCAAAUUGGGCUUGUACAGUAUAUAAAUAUUGGAGUGGCUACCAUCUCCACGUGAAAGUAAAACUAGUUUUAAACUUCAAGGAUCAUGAUCAUGAAUGUUUCAAA